rnacentral:rRNA from 1 species
UGGGGAAUAUUGGGCAAUGGAGGGAACUCUGACCCAGCGACGCCGCGUGCGGGAUGAAGGCCUUCGGGUUGUAAACCGCUUUCAGCAAGGAAGAAGCGAAAGUGACGGUACUUGCAGAAGAAGCACCGGCUAACUAUGUGCCAGCAGCCGCGGUAAUACAUAGGGUGCAAGCGUUGUCCGGAAUUAUUGGGCGUAAAGAGCUCGUAGGUGGUUCGUCACGUCGGAUGUGAAAAUCUGGGGCUUAACCCCAGACCUGCAUUCGAUACGGGCGAGCUAGAGUGUGGUAGGGGAGACUGGAAUUCCUGGUGUAGCGGUGGAAUGCGCAGAUAUCAGGAGGAACACCAAUGGCGAAGGCAGGUCUCUGGGCCAUUACUGACACUGAGGAGCGAAAGCGUGGGGAGCGAACAGGAUUAGAUACCCUGGUAGUCCACGCCGUAAACGGUGGGCACUAGUUGUGGGAACCUUCCACGGUUUCUGCGACGCAGCUAACGCAUUAAGUGCCCCGCCUGGGGAGUACGAUCGCAAGAUUA